rnacentral:rRNA from 1 species
AUGGCCACCUGCCUCUCUGAUCUUAUUAGUGACUAUUCCCUAGAUUUCCUGGGUCUACAAGAGACCAUGAAAAAAGAUUUCUUCCCUAAAUGCUUGAGGAGAAUUGACCCCUUUAACCUUUUCAAAUGGAACUGGGUUCCUUCUGAGGGCAAGUCUGGAGGUAUCCUGUGUGGAGUUAGACAAGACACUUUGGAGGUGGUCGCCUGUAACAAAGGCAAGUACAUCCUGCAGGUGGUUGUCUUUGAUAAGAAGAAUAAAACUAAUUGGGGGUUGUUGGUAGUUUAUGGCUCUGCACAUGAAGAACAUAAAGAAGAUUUCUUGCUGGAGCUUGCUAAUAUGUGUAAUGGCAUGCAGAUCCCUUAUAUUGUUGGCGGGGAUUUUAACAUUCUCAGGCACCCUGGUGAAAAAAAUAAAAAGAUGACUAGCCAUAAAUCCACGGAUCUGUUUUAUUCUAUUAUCAACACCCUAGCUCUUAGAGAGAUUCAUAUUAAUGGGGGCAAGUAUACUUGGACGAACAAUCAAACACACCCUACAUUGGAAAAGUUGGACCGUGUUUUGAUGUCUGAGGAAUGGGAGGACUUGUUUCCCCUGGUCUCUAUUAGGAAGUUGGUCCGUGAGAUUUCGGAUCAUAAUCCCUUGCUGCUUGCUACU